rnacentral:misc_RNA from 1 species
AAGGACUGCACCUGCAGGGUUUUCAGAUAAGACUCUGCAACAGCCUUUGCUUGACUCCUACUGAUCAUACCAACACCAGUUUUCCUCCUUAGUAGAGCCAAACAACCGACAAGGGCACCAUGCAACGCUUUCCAAUCUGCCAGCCGCUCUGUGAAGAACUCCAUCAAGCUGCUUAUUGCAGUAUCACCCAACGGCUUCGACAUUAGUCGCAUCAACAGCUCUCCAAGUAAGAGG